rnacentral:lncRNA from 1 species
UAAUCGCAAGGUUAUGGCAUAACAGUCUGUAAUCCUAAGUGAAAUUUGGAUUGUAACAUAAUGUGUUUUGAUUAGGUUCUCAAAAUAUAAACUGCAAAUCAAACUGAACCGCGCAGUUUUGUUAAAAUAUAGCCUAAAUACAUCCAAACCAAAUGCAUUUUUUGCAGUUUUUUAUUUUCUUUGGUUUUUUUUUGCGGUUUUCUAUUGGGC